AUGAACCGGUGCUUGCAUCGGGGAUUAGUGGCGAACGGGUGAGUAACACGUGAGUAACCUGCCCUUGACUCUGGGAUAAGCCUGGGAAACUGGGUCUAAUACCGGAUAUGACCUUCCAUCGCAUGGUGGUUGGUGGAAAGCUUUUGUGGUUUUGGAUGGACUCGCGGCCUAUCAGCUUGUUGGUGAGGUAAUGGCUUACCAAGGCGACGACGGGUAGCCGGCCUGAGAGGGUGACCGGCCACACUGGGACUGAGACACGGCCCAGACUCCUACGGGAGGCAGCAGUGGGGAAUAUUGCACAAUGGGCGCAAGCCUGAUGCAGCGACGCCGCGUGAGGGAUGACGGCCUUCGGGUUGUAAACCUCUUUCAGUAGGGAAGAAGCGAAAGUGACGGUACCUGCAGAAGAAGCGCCGGCUAACUACGUGCCAGCAGCCGCGGUAAUACGUAGGGCGCAAGCGUUAUCCGGAAUUAUUGGGCGUAAAGAGCUCGUAGGCGGUUUGUCGCGUCUGCCGUGAAAGUCCGGGGCUCAACUCCGGAUCUGCGGUGGGUACGGGCAGACUAGAGUGAUGUAGGGGAGACUGGAAUUCCUGGUGUAGCGGUGAAAUGCGCAGAUAUCAGGAGGAACACCGAUGGCGAAGGCAGGUCUCUGGGCAUUAACUGACGCUGAGGAGCGAAAGCAUGGGGAGCGAACAGGAUUAGAUACCCUGGUAGUCCAUGCCGUAAACGUUGGGCACUAGGUGUGGGGGGACAUUCCACGUUUUCCGCGCC
rnacentral:rRNA from 1 species